UGGAUGUUUCCUUCUGCCUUCUUCAACCAUUCUCCUCUUCACUUUUUUGUCAUAUAUAUAAAUGCAUGCAAGAAUACCUCAACUUUUAUAUCCACCAACUAAUUCUAUCCUGUUCCUGUUCCAAAGAUGAAUGAUCCCAAGUAUGGUUAUCCCUAUCCGGCCACAGGGAGUUAUCAAGGGCCUCAAGUAGUGAUGGCACCUCCACAGUAUUAUGCAGCUCCACCACCACCACCACCUAAGAGAGAACCGAGUUUUGUCGACGGAUUCCUUGCAGCUUUGUGUUGCUGCUGUCUCUUGGAUGAUUGCUGCUGCGAUCCCUCUAUCUUGUUCGUUGCCUAAAUGCAGAUGCAGUUUUUCUUUUACUAUGUCUAUAUACAACAUGUUGCUUAAUUAACAUGUUGAUGUUGUAGACUUUAAAUUCUCUGAGGAGAGUGAUUGAUUAUCUUAUCGAGUUCAUGUAUUAAAUUUGCAGUACUGUACAAUAAGGCACCAAGCUUCUUCAAAACUUUUAUA